rnacentral:rRNA from 1 species
CCUACGGGAGGCAGCAGUGGGGAAUAUUGCACAAUGGGGGAAACCCUGAUGCAGCGACGCCGCGUGAGUGAAGAAGUAUUUCGGUAUGUAAAGCUCUAUCAGCAGGGAAGAAAUACUGACCUUACGGUCAGCAGACGGUACCUGACUAAGAAGCCCCGGCUAACUACGUGCCAGCAGCCGCGGUAAUACGUAGGGGGCAAGCGUUAUCCGGAUUUACUGGGUGUAAAGGGAGCGUAGACGGCAGCGCACGUCUGAAGUGAAAUCCCAUGGCUUAACCAUGGAACUGCUUUGGAAACUGUGCAGCUGGAGUGCAGGAGAGGUAAGCGGAAUUCCUAGUGUAGCGGUGAAAUGCGUAGAUAUUAGGAGGAACACCAGUGGCGAAGGCGGCUUACUGGACUGUAACUGACGUUGAGGCUCGAAGGUGCGGGUAUCAAACAGGAUUAGAUACCCGAGUAGUC